rnacentral:rRNA from 1 species
UACAGAGGUCUCAAGCGUUGUUCGGAUUCAUUGGGGGUAAAGGGUGCGUAGGCGGCGCGGUAAGUCGGGUGUGAAAUCUUGGAGCUUAACUCCGAAACUGCAUUCGAUACUGCCGUGCUUGAGGACUGGAGAGGAGACUGGAAUUUACGGUGUAGCGGUGAAAUGCGUAGAUAUCGUAAGGAAGACCAGUGGCGAAGGCGGGUCUCUGGACAGUUCCUGACGCUGAGGCACGAAAGUCAGGGGAGCAAACGGG